rnacentral:rRNA from 1 species
GACACGGCCCAGACUCCUACGGGAGGCAGCAGUAGGGAUCUUCCGCAAUGUACGAAAGUCUGACGGAGCAACGCCGCGUGAGUGAUGAAGGUUUUCGGAUCGUAAAGCUCUGUUGUUAGGGAAGAACAAGUGCGAGAGUAACUGCUCGCACCUUGACGGUACCUAACCAGAAAGCCACGGCUAACUACGUGCCAGCAGCCGCGGUAAUACGUAGGUGGCAAGCGUUGUCCGGAAUUAUUGGGCGUAAAGGGCUCGCAGGCGGUUUCUUAAGUCUGAUGUGAAAGCCCCCGGCUCAACCGGGGAGGGUCAUUGGAAACUGGGAAACUUGAGUGCAGAAGAGGAGAGUGGAAUUCCACGUGUAGCGGUGAAAUGCGUUAGAGGAUGUGGAGGAACACCAGUGGCGAAGGCGACUCUCUGGUCUGUAACUGACGCUGAGGAGCGAAAGCGUGGGGAGCGAACAGGAUUAGAUACCCUGGUAGUCCACGCCGUAAACGGAUGAGUGCUAAGUGUUAGGGGGUUUUCCGCCCCUUAGUGCUGCAGCUAACGCAUUAAGCACUCCGCCUGGGGAGUACGGUCGCAAGACUGAAACUCAAAGGAAUUGACGGGGGCCCGCACAAG